rnacentral:lncRNA from 1 species
AUGACAUCUGCUCUUUUUUUCCAUUUUAAAGGGCACCGUGAAGCACAGAACUCCAGUAACCCCAACACAAUGAUCUGCUUGGGCUGUGCGAAAAGUCUGGGAGGGUGCAAAGGUUCCUUCUUCCUUCACUCUUUCCAGACCACACCAACCCCUGAUUUCUGCUUAAUCGGCUCAAACCUUCUCUCUCUGCUUGUGCUUAGGCUGAGGAGUCUCCCAUUUUCCCACAUUGAACCAUAUUUUGAUUUUUCCUGGCCAAACCCCAGCUCAGGACCGGGUGCUCUGCAAGAAGACGACGUGAGCCUGAGCAGGGCACAGCGCCACAGCACGGGGAGGAGCCCCCCAGCUUUUGCUGUGGAUGAGAUUUCCAAGCACGACGUUUCGCGCCAUGGAGGGACAAGUGGGACAAGGACAUGCCAGCAGUCCCCAGCCAAGGCGAUGACCAGGCAGGGAGACCCCUGUGACCCAUGGUAACGAGGGGACAGGAGGGGCAGCGUGUUCACCUGCCCUCCUCUGUAGCUCUCUGGUAGCUCCUGUCCUUCCUAUUAAGAUGAAUCUAAUAAAUGUAAAUAUGACCUUGACGUUCCUCCA